rnacentral:rRNA from 1 species
UCGUAACAAGGUUUCCGUAGGUGAACCUGCGGAAGGAUCAUUAUUGAAAUUACCGGCGAGGGUUGUAGCUGGCCUUUCGGGGCAUGUGCACGCCCGAGCCUUUAAUCCAACAUACACCUGUGAACCCAAUGUAAGGGCCCGUAAAAAGGCCCCUACGUCUUUAUCACCAACUCUGUAUUCAUAGAAUGUAAUCCAUAUCUUCGCCUUAACAAGCGUUGGUAAAACUUAUACAACUUUCAACAACGGAUCUCUUGGCUCUCGCAUCGAUGAAGAACGCAGCGAAAUGCGAUAAGUAAUGUGAAUUGCAGAUUUUCAGUGAAUCAUCGAAUCUUUGAACGCACCUUGCGCCCCUUGGUAUUCCGAGGGGCAUGCCUGUUUGAGUGUCAUUAAAUUCUCAACUCCGAUUUGAUUUGUUUCUUAUCGGAGCUUGGACUUUGGAGCGUGCUGGCGUAAGGUCGGCUCCUCUUAAAUGUAUCAGCGGAAUCUAACCUUUGGAUUCUGGACAUCGGUGUGAUAAUAAAAGUUGCGCCGUCGUUCUACUUCAAAGUCCGCUUACAAUGGUCUUUUGACAAACUCUUAUCAAAUUGACCUCAAAUCAGGU